GGUGCUGCAUGGCUGUCGUCAGCUCGUGCGUGAGAUGUUGGGUUAAGUCCGUAACGAGCGCAACCCUGUCCUUAGUUACCAGCACGUUAUGGUGGGCGACUCUAAGGAGACUGCCGGUGACAAACCGGAGGAAGGUGGGGAGUGACGUCAAGUCAUCAUGGCCCUUACGGCCUGGGCUACACACGUGCUACAAUGGUCGGUACAAAGGGUUGCCAAGCCGCGAGGUGGAGCUAAUCCCAUAAAACCGAUCGUAGUCCGGAUCGCAGUCUGCAACUCGACUGCGUGAAGUCGGAAUCGCUAGUAAUCGUGAAUCAGAAUGUCACGGUGAAUACGUUCCCGGGCCUU
rnacentral:rRNA from 1 species